rnacentral:rRNA from 1 species
GAUGAACGCUAGCGGCAGGCUUAAUACAUGCAAGUCAAGGGGGUAGCAAUACAACCGGCGCACGGGUGAGUAACGCGUACACAACAUACCAUAUACUGGGGUAUAGCUUCGGGAAACUGGAGAUAAUCCCCCAUAACAUUGCGAGAGGGCAUCUGAUUGCAAUUAAAGUUUCGACGGUAUAUGAUUGGUGUGCGUUUGAUUAGCUUGUUGGUAGGGUAACGGCCUACCAAGGCGACGAUCAAUAGCUGGCGUGAGAGCGCGACCAGCCACACUGGAACUGAGACACGGUCCAGACUCCUACGGGAGGCAGCAGUAGGGAAUAUUGGACAAUGGGCGAAAGCCUGAUCCAGCCAUGCCGCGUGAUAGAUGAAGGCCCUCUGGGUUGUAAUAUCUUUAUCU